UACGUAGGUGGCAAGCGUUGUCCGGAAUUAUUGGGCGUAAAGCGCGCGCAGGCGGUCUUUUAAGUCUGAUGUGAAAGCCCACGGCUCAACCGUGGAGGGUCAUUGGAAACUGGGAGACUUGAGUGCAGAAGAGAAGAGUGGAAUUCCACGUGUAGCGGUGAAAUGCGUAGAGAUGUGGAGGAACACCAGUGGCGAAGGCGGCUUUCUGGUCUGUAACUGACGCUGAGGCGGCGAAAGCGUGGGGAGCGAACAGG
rnacentral:rRNA from 1 species